rnacentral:rRNA from 1 species
GUGCGUAACGCGUAUACAAUCUGCCUUUCACUGGGGGAUAGCCCGAAGAAAUUUGGAUUAAUACCCCAUAGUAUAGGAGCACGGCAUCGUGAUACUAUUAAAGCUUAGGUGGUGAAAGAUGAGUAUGCGUUCUAUUAGCUAGUUGGAGAGGUAACGGCUCCCCAAGGCGAUGAUAGAUAGGGGUUCUGAGAGGGAUGUCCCCCACACUGGUACUGAGAUACGGACCAGACUCCUACGGGAGGCAGCAGUGAGGAAUAUUGGACAAUGGUCGGAAGACUGAUCCAGCCAUGCCGCGUGCAGGAUGRAGGUCUUAUGGAUUGUAAACUGCU